rnacentral:lncRNA from 1 species
GUCUGACCCGCGUGCUGCCGAGGUCGUUUCUCGCUGUCACGCUGUUUUCCUCUGGGGUUUCACAUGACAAACUGCAGAAAGUUGUUUUGUCAUGCUGUACCUUUAUACACUGAGUGUCAUGUUCCACACAUUCAGAAGUCUUUAGUGUGACAGACGUGACUUGGCCACCUUAGAGUUUGCGCUCCGGAGGGAUCUGCACGUGUUUGGACGAUUAAGGUCCUGAUCACUGAAUGUUCACCAUUAUCUCCUGGAAGACCUUGCAUCUCCUCAAAAAUCAUCUGUAAUUGUUGUACAUCCAUCAGGCAUCUGGGACGGCCUGCUAACACCCGGCACCACGCGGGGCCACGACUGGCCAUGAUGCUUCCUUAGGAGUCCCAUUAUUUAUUGCCAAACCCAAUUAGAUUCUCAGUAUUAAAGUGACAGCUUUGCUGUGGGGUCACGCUGAAGACA